ACAUCAACAUCGCAGGACUCAAAUAUGUCGCUGUCGGAAAGCGGCUGAAACGUGAACGUGAAACCACCACGGCGCUUGGGGAAACCUUUGAGGAAAUUCUAGGGUUGCACGCACCGGUACAGUGGCUACAGCUGGAGCGCUAGCACAGUUCUAGCCACCGUAUGGCUGAGCCUGAUAGCAUACUGCCGUCGAGGGACCCGGGGCGAUUUCGCGCAGAGGUGGGGACCAAUGAUGAAGUUGAUCUUGGGACUCUUUCAAGGGAUGGCUGGAAUCGCCCCACUUUUCUAAAAACCGUGUUGCUGCUUGACAGCUCUGCCUUAAAAGGGAAACUAAAGAGAAAGCAUUGCCACUGCCCCAGUUGCUGGACCAAUUGUUCCGCUCGGACAUUCAAAUUGAGUGCAACAAUUCCCGAGACUCUACGGCAGAGGCAAACGACAACGGCAUAUCUGUGGAUUUAGUGCCAGCUGCGCUGCCCGAUGAGGGUGCCAGUACAAGCGAAGCCAGCGAGCGCUUGCGCCGUAACAGAUGCACAUAUUCUUGUCCAUAUUGCCCUUACGUUGCACGGAGUUCACACUUGACUACACACAUGCGUGUCCAUACUGGUGAGAGACCGUUCAGGUGCAACGUCUGUUUAGCAUGCUUCACCACGAAAUCAAACCUUUCACGGCACUUGAGGGCUCAACCAUGUGGGAAAUUUCCAUUAUCUAUCUGCAACUAGCAGUUCAACACCAAGCAGCAUCUUCGUGACCGUUUUCAUGAACUUUUGCAAUUCAUAACCACUCUUCCAUACAUUCAGGUGUUCUACCCUGCCUGUGUCCUGUGUGCUUGUGAUCCUUCUGACAGAAGAGCUUUCUAUUUAACCACAUGCAUCUGAUGCACAAGAAGUGAAUAGCUUGACGUGAUCCAACUCCUUGAAACAAGGUGGACUGUAUUUGGUGGCAGCAAGGCAUGCUCACACAGUCAUCAACUGCGUGUGUGUGUGGAUAGCAAAGAAGGCACAAGUUUAGAACAAGCAUUUCAGUCGUACGUUUGUGGGGUGGUAGUGUAUUUGCAUAAGAUUCCAAAAAGUAACUUCCGAAACCGCUAAUCAAAGAAACAUUUAUUAGAAAACCGCUUAUGUGAAGAAGUGUGGUACUUUAAGCUGUGCUGUAAGGACAUCUUCGAUUGUAGUGCAAUGUUUUACUGUGCCAGGCAGUUAUACAGUAGGAAACGGUCACUGUUUCUGUAAUUUCAUAAGUCCGUUACACUGACUGACACAGAUGUCCCUUAUAUUGUGGCCGUUUGUAACUUGCGUUUGUGGGAAGAAUGUGUUUUGCCAUGUGGUGGCAUUGAUGUCAAUUUUGAAUUGCACCACUUUUAAAGUUCUGUGUACACAUGCACAAGAGAUAAAAAUGGAUGCCUGUCAAAGCCAAAGUGUUUUCCAUUGGCGUGCCAACAUUAAUAAAAAGCACGCUGUGCUGUGAGGAAAGUGUUGAAAGCAUAUUGAAAGAGUUUCACUGAAACAUUCUCUGAACUUAUGAAAGAAGACUGGGAAAUAAAGCAAAGAUUUUAAAGCGUG